CGUUUAGCCAUUGUUAGCAGCUACUAGCUAGCUUUACUUAAAUAACAUCAACCAAAUCCAGUCUCCAACGCGAAUUAAAUACUACCUGGGUCUAUGUAAUUGCAGAUGACAUGAUAAUUGCAGCAGCCACCAAAGAAGAGCAUGAUCACAUUCUACAGCAGGUGAUGGGCAGAGCUAUCCGUCUGAAUAUGAAGUUCAAUGCUGACAAGAUGCAAUACAUGGCAGACAUUCUAUCUAAUACUGACUGGAACUAUACACUAUACAUGGGCCGAAUGGCCUCUCUCCUGUUUGGAUCUUCAGGUGCAUCUUCAGCUGGUGCUGGUGGGAGAACCUCUUCUCACUGGGGGCAGCUGCAGGAUUUCUCCCCUGUGUAAGAAAUCCUAUGGUGCCUCUUUAGGUUGAACGAGUGGGAGAAACUGUCCGGGAACAAGGUGGCAGCCGAACACUUGCCUAUUAAUGUUCUGUGGGGACCCCAGGAAGAGUAACUGCUGAUUUUGCAACAGCUAAUGGGGAUCCAGAAGAAGUUGUUCAAAGAGAAAGCCUAAUGUUGCAGAAACUUGGUUCAGGAUCUCUGGAGGUAUUUCAACAUUCCCUGGCCUUUCAAUCAAAUGUAAAAUGUUCUGUUAUAUAACAAUCCUAAAUUGUAGCCUAUACAUUAUGGCAAUGUACAUGUUUUCAUUUAGAAAUCUACAUCUUGCAUGUUUUUGUUUACAUUUACAAAGCUCAUAUCUCCCUCCGAUUGUAUGGUUAUCUUUUGUGUUAAUGAUUUAAAGUAAACAUUUCUCAUGACAUUUCACAAAUGUCCCAUUUUGAAUCGAUGAUCAACACUGGAUGAAUUGGAUAAAUAGCUAGGUUUGCCUAAAACAUUGGAAACAUAAUAUAUAUAAUGACCAGUCUUUAAUCAAAAUUUGGUUGUUCUUGUAUUUCCACAAGUGCAUUUCUUUGAAAAACAACUGAUUGGGUUUAGAUCUGUUAAAUCGGUGUUUCCGUUAUUUUGUGAAAGUGACUACUGUAAGCAAGUUCAAUGGUAGAAAUGAAGGCUAUGCUCUUGCUGGACAUAUGGUUGAAGUGGUCAGUUGGUUUUGAGAUCUGAUUUGGCCUAUUAAAUUACUGAACACAUUAUUGGUCAAUUGCAUUUGAUUGGUGAGUGAAAGUAGUUUCCACCAAUGGUUCUCACAUACUGUAUAGACAGUAUGUAGGCCUAAUAGUACACAACAAUAAUACAUCACUAAUAGUUAAUUUCCAGGUAAUGACCCGCAGCUAAUCAGUGGCUUCCUCUUUUAAUCAAGCACACAUACACACACGUGCGACUCAAAUCAUUAGUAUUGUAACAUUAGUAAGGCUAAGUUAUUUAUAUCCGUCUACUUCAGUGGUCACCAACCAGUCGAUCUCCAAGGCAUUUACAGUCGAUCGCCAAACAGUUCUGUAAAAUGUGUUGUGUUCCUAUUUUUUCGCCAAUUCAGCUGCCCUGUGUGCCGGGUAUUACAAACUGUUGCCAUUUAAUGUGUCUGAAGGUACAAACUCUGCCUUCCCGGUUGGCCUGGAGAGGAAAUCAAGUGCACAAUUUUUAUGUUUUAUUUUAUUUAACCAGGUAGGCUAGUUGAGAACAAGUUGUCAUUUACAACUGCGACCUGGCCAAGAUAAAGCAAAGCAGUGCAACACAAACAACAACACAUAGUUACACAUGGAAUAUACAAACAUACAGUCAAUAUUACAAUAGAAAAAGUCUAUAUACAUACAGUGUGUGCAAAUGAGGGAGUACGGCAAUAAAUAGGCCAUAGUGGUGAAAUAAUUACAAUAAAGCAAUUAAACACUG